rnacentral:rRNA from 1 species
AUGCGUUGUAAACUGCUUUUCCAGGGAGAGAAACUUGCGCACGUGUUGCGCAAUUGACGGUACCCUGGGAAUAAGCAUCGGCUAACUCCGUGCCAGCAGCCGCGGUAAUACGGAGGAUGCGAGCGUUAUCCGGAUUCAUUGGGUUUAAAGGGUGCGUAGGCGGACUAUUAAGUCAGUGGUGAAAUCCUGCAGCUUAACUGCAGAACUGCCAUUGAUACUGAUAGCCUUGAGUUUGGUUAAGGUAGGCGGAAUGUGUAAUGUAGCGGUGAAAUGCUUAGAUAUUACACAGAACACCAAUUGCGUAGGCAGCUUACUGAGCCGACACUGACGCUGAGGCACGAAAGCGUGGGGAUCGAACAGGAUUAGAUACCCUGGUAGUCCACGCCGUAAACGAUGAUUACUCGCUGUUGGCGAUACACUGUCAGCGGCUAAGCAAAAGCAAUAAGUAAUCCACCUGGGGAGUACGGCCGCAAGGUUGAAACUUAAAGGAAUUGACGGGGGCCCGCACAAGCGGAGGAACAUGUGGUUUAAUUCGAUGAUACGCGAGGAACCUUACCUGGGCUUAAAUGUAGAGUGCAUUUUCUAGAGAUAGGAAUUCCCUUCGGGGCUUUCUGCAAGGUGCUGCAUGGUUGUCGUCAGCUCGUGCCGUGAGGUGUCGGGUUAAGUCCCAUAACGAGCGCAACCCUUAUCGUUAGUUGCCAUCUGGUAAAGCAGGGGACUCUAGCGAAACUGCCACCGUAAGGUGGGAGGAAGGUGGGGAUGACGUCAAAUCAGCACGGCCCUUAUGUCCAGGGCUACACACGUGUUACAAUGGUCGGUACAGAGGGCAGCUACCUGGUGACAGGAUGCUAAUCUCGAAAACCGGUCUCAGUUCGGAUCGAAGUCUGCAACUCGACUUCGUGAAGCUGGAUUCGCUAGUAAUCGCGCAUCAGCCAUGGCGCGGUGAAUACGUUCCCGGGCCUUGUACACACCGCCCGU